CUGACUGUCAGUGCAUGGUCGGUUCAGACAGGGAAGCGGAUUCCAGGGGACCAGGGCUGUAGCUAUUACCAACAGCUGUCAGAGCUGGAAAUGUGGAACCAUCUCUGAGCCAACCUCCAUCCACUCAUACAUGAAAUCCGAAGGGGAGAGAACAUUCCCUCUCUGGAAAGAGUUCUGACAGUACACUGGGGAUGUCUGAGGGAUACCAACAGGAGGUCAGAUGGUCCCACCUGUGGAAGGAGCCACACAGAGGCUGAAACCAUGUAGCACCAAAUGAAGAUCACAUCUGCAACACCUCAACCCAGCACCGUAGACACAGGAGGAAUGAAGGACCCCAGAGGCUGUGUCACCUGGUCCUAUCUCCAAAUACAGUCACAUUUUGGGACCACAGAUUAUGAACAUAGGAACUUUUUGACACUGGAGACUGUGGAGGG